GGCUGUAUAGUGCAAUGACUAGCAUUCUCCACAGCCUACUAUUCUGAGGAGAGAUGUCGGUUCAAAUCCGACUGCGGCCC
rnacentral:tRNA from 1 species